rnacentral:rRNA from 1 species
UACGUAGGGGGCGAGCGUUGUCCGGAAUUACUGGGCGUAAAGGGCGUGUAGGCGGCCGAUCAAGUCAGGUGUGAAAUUCCAGGGCUCAACUCUGGGCGUGCAUUUGAAACUGGUUGGCUUGAGUGCAGGAGAGGAAAGUGGAAUUCCCAGUGUAGCGGUGAAAUGCGUAGAUAUUGGGAGGAACACCAGUGGCGAAGGCGACUUUCUGGCCUGCAACUGACGCUGAGGCGCGAAAGCUAGGGGAGCAAACAGG